GUCUUCCUUGAUAGAUCUAGGGUUCUUCGCUCUGAGUUUGUGAUCAAGCCAGACUCUAAUGGAGGUUGUUCGAGGUUCACAGUCUCAAAUAUCUGUCUGGAAUCACUGAUUUGGUGACUUUCGCGACGUUUCGCACAUGAUUCGUCGACUAUGUUAUGUUACGGUAUUAAGUGUUCCUCCCCUUAAGCAUCAAUCUUUACUCCUUGGAUCCAUGACGCCCACGAUUUCUCAUUCAUUAAUACUCAUCUCCCUUACGGGCUGUGAAACUCCUACUAUAAAAAGGUAUUUGUUCUUUCCAAUAGACAUCAUCCUCACAAAUCCUACUACAUAAGAAACUUAUUCUUUACUCUUAUGGCUAACAUAUCUACAAUUCUUGCUGAUCUCAAAUCUGGACGUUGCUCAUCCAUGGUGGAGGUGCGUCUCCUCCGUUUUUGGGAAGCUAGAAAAAUUAAACGUGGUGGUCACCUCAUGGUAGUAGGCACGCUCAUGCCCCCAGCAUCGAUGUGAACCAUCUUCCCACCUACCGGUGACACUUGAAGGCGCAGGUUCCAAGUUCUCUAUGAGCGGCUUUGAUAUCACUAGGUGUAUCAGAAUUUUAGGCUGUCAGACUUUUGUCUAAUGAUACGGUUAAGUAAUUCAACCGGUUUGAUGAGAUAACCGAACCGUCUCUCCAAUCCCUGAAGAGCACUUCCGGUUCCGUUACCGCAGUGAACUUUUUGGCCUAGCCGACACAAAUACCCAGCUUCUAGAGAAUUUAUUGACAUGGUUGGGAAGACUUACACCCUCCAUGUCAGGAUUAGUAGCUACAACUUCACAGCCAAUCACCAAACCUUCACUAUAUCUCGCAUAUUGAACGAGCCUGCUCGUCUGCCACUGCAUGACUUUGUAACUCA